UCGGCAGGAAGGUGAGAACUCACAAGUUC
rnacentral:piRNA from 1 species